GAUGAACGCUAGCGGCAGGCCUAAUACAUGCAAGUCGAACGGGAUCCGCCAGCUUGCUGGCGGUGAGAGUGGCGCACGGGUGCGUAACGCGUGAGCAACCUGCCCGUCCCAGGGGGAUAGCCCGUUGAAAGACGGAUUAACACCGCAUACGACCGGAGGAUCACAUGGUUUUCCGGUGAAAUAUUUAUAGGGGACGGAUGGGCUCGCGUGACAUUAGCUGGUUGGCGGGGUAACGGCCCACCAAGGCGACGAUGUCUAGGGGCUCUGAGAGGAGAAACCCCCACACUGGUACUGAGACACGGACCAGACUCCUACGGGAGGCAGCAGUAAGGAAUAUUGGUCAAUGGAGGCAACUCUGAACCAGCCAUGCCGCGUGCAGGAAGACGGCCCUACGGGUUGUAAACUGCUUUUGUACGGGAAUAAACCCCACUACGAGUAGUGGGCUGCAUGUACCGUAAGAAUAAGGAUCGGCUAACUCCGUGCCAGCCGCCGCAGUAA
rnacentral:rRNA from 1 species